CCCACAAUCACCCCACCCCCGACGGUUUUCCCCCUCUUCCCAGACAGUUUUUAUUUCCUUCCUAUUUCUUCUUUUCCCGUCCUCCCUAAUUCACGCCACUCCCUCAGGAAUUCUCUCAUCCCUCUACUCAAUCUAUGGCAGGUCGCACAAUCUCUCUAUCUCUCAGAAUCACCUAAGGCUUAAGCCGGAAACCAGCACCCUCCUUCCACUCAGUCCAUGGCAGUCCGAGAACCGCCCCCAUCUAAGUCGUGCACCGCCAUCGCAAGCAGCCCCGCGAGACACUGUCGUGCACGCCACCACGGUAACUCCUUCGUUUGUCUCCCUGCUUAUCUCUUGAUUUCUCACCCUCCAUCUAUGCCUCUCACUCUCUCUCUCUCUCUCUCUCUCUCUCUCUCUCUCUCUCUCUCUCUCGCUCUCUGAACAACCUUCAGCCGCAACUCAUCAUCGGACUACCGCCAACCAUAAUGUCGCCCACACCGUUUCCAGCCCUCAAUCUCUACUCCUCCGCUACCAUCCCACACGCAACGCCAUGAAUCACCACAAUGUAACAUUGUAAUUGGAGAUGUGUGCGGUGUAAAGUGGUGGGAAUAAUUGUGUAGUUGUGAAGUGGCCGGAAGCCAUGUGAAGUGCCU